UGUGUGUGUGUGUGUGUGUGUGUGUGUGUAUGUGUGUCUGUCUGUCUGUGUGUGUGUGUGUGUGUGUGUGUGUGUGUGUGUGUGUGUGUGUGUGUGUGUGUGUGUGUGUGUGAGGUUGGAGUUUAGUUGGUGUUAAUUGUUGUUUUUCGCCUCUGUGAGGAACUUUGAACUGCGUUUGUCUGAAAAUAUAAAAUUGCUCAGACAGAUUGUUCACAAAGUUUGAGGAACCAAAAAUGAGAUUUCUCCACAUUGAAUUUAAUGUUUUUUUUGUUUGAAUCAGACUGAAGCAGCUGGUUAUCUUCCACACUGAAUACUUUAGUGCUAAAGGGUGUAGAAAGGGUGUAGAAAGGGUGUAGCAGCAGCAGCAGCAGCAGCAGGACCAGUUGGAACAGUCAGUUUGAAUUGGGACAAGGUAACCAGGAUACUGAGGAGUGUAAGCUUUCCCUUCAUCUGGCUUUAAACAAAUAUUGACUCGAGCUUUGAGGCAAAUAGGCUUUCAGGUAAAGAGUGACAUGUAGGAAGGACUCUCCCACUCAUGACGGUGCCUCUUAAAGGUGAUGACACCCACACAGGACAUGUACUGGGGAUUAACUGGAGUAAAGAGAGCCCCCCCAGACUAUGAGAAGAUAAAACAGCAGGCUUCAGCUUCAUUACUGCUGAUCAUGGGUUUAUUUUCAUCACAAACGGAUCCAAACUGCCUGUAACUUCAUUCAAAUAUAAGAAACGAUACUGAACAGACGGUUCAGACUCGGGUCUGACUCAGUGUUUGUUUUCUAAGAAAAUGAAAAUACCAAAGUUUAUUAGGGCUGCUGUGUGAUAAAGUUCCUCAUAUGAGCUGAGACAGUUUACUUCUUAGAACUGCAGGAUAUAAUAUUGUGUCUUCAUCACCUGAAUAAACCCCCUGAACCUCAGGAACAAUGAAAACAGAGCGGUUCACUUCUCUUUAUUCUGUUUUGGAGCAUCCAUAGAACAGAUGGCUCAUAUCAGAUGUCUGCUGAGUGUGGUUAAUGUUUAGUUAAUGAUUAACAUAUCCUUCCAUUAAGCCUAUCUGUGUGCUCCCUGCUGCCAGCCUGAGGCUUCAGGUCAUGACGUAGGAGACGGACAGUUAUGAAUAGACCCCCCAGUGGAAAAAACACGCUGUCAUCAUGAACGGGCCAUCCGGAAAAUGAUUAUCAAAUAAGAGCCAAACGAUGAGAUUAUCAGUCCUAUCACUGUAAAUGUCAACGUUUGGAGAUAUGAUUCGCUGCAGGGGAUGUUCAGACAGAAGGGUCUGUUUACUGAUAAACAGGUAAACAGUUAAAGAGCAGCGCUCUGACACAGGUCAAACACUCUCAUCUGUAGCUCUGUUACAGGUCAAACACUCUCAUCUGUAGCUCUGUUCUUUUUUACUCCAUCAUUCAGUCCCAGCAGGUAAAGUUCAUCAUAAUCAUGUGUGCGACAUCUGGAUUCAUGACCUGGUUUUUAUAUUUUUCUCAUACAAGAAAACAUUCAAACUGAGGGUUCAUC